rnacentral:rRNA from 1 species
UACGUAGGUGGCAAGCGUUGUCCGGAUUUACUGGGCGUAAAGAGCGCGCAGGCGGUCGUUCAAGUCGCGUGUGAAAGCCCCCGGCUCAACUGGGGAGGGUCACGCGAUACUGAUCGACUCGAAGGCAGGAGAGGGAAGUGGAAUUCCCGGUGUAGUGGUGAAAUGCGUAGAUAUCGGGAGGAACACCAAUGGCGAAGGCAGCUUGCUGGGACGGUACUGACGCUGAGACGCGAAAGCGUGGGGAGCAAACAGG